rnacentral:lncRNA from 1 species
CCGGGGAACGGUAGCUGUGCUAGUUUUGAACCAAGUCGUCCGUGUAUCCUUUUUCUUUUCCUUUUUUUACCACACUCACCUUACCAUAUUCACCAUACCACAUGGAUUUCACUCCUAUCUAUAAAUUCUUUGCUCCAAAGGGCGAGUUAUUAGAGCCACCACCCUCAUCACAUCCAAUUCUUAUAGAUGGCUAUGACCUCGGCCCUGAUCUA